rnacentral:lncRNA from 1 species
AAUUGCAUUAAUGGAGUACAGGAGAAGAAUCAUUACAUCAGUAGAGGCAGAGAAAGCACUUCAUGAAAUUCAACAUUUACCUAUGCAGAAACUUCUCAGAAACUAGAUAAGUAAAGCCUUGCCUUAACUUCGUAAGGUCUGUAAUAAACAAAAAUAAACAGUAAGCAACAGUUUGCCUGCACUGUUAUCAGACUGCUUUUUUACGAUUAGGAUCAAGACAUGAAUGAUUGCUGUGCCUAUUAAUGUUCAACAAAUGUCAUGAUCAAAGGAACAGGGCAAGACAGAGAAGUACAAGGCUACAUCAUAUAGAGGUAUGAAGAGAUAAAACUGUCAUUUUCAUGUGAUGUGACUAUCUAUACAGAAAACCCAGCAGAACUAACAGAUAAAAUAUUAAGAUGAAUACAUGAGUCUAGUUAAAGAGCUGGAUUAAAAUUAAGCUUAAAAUUCUUAGAAAAUUCUUCAUUAACAGAAAACAGCUGGACUAUAGAAUGUAAAGUAAGCACCAUUCAAAAUAGUAACACAACUAAACAAUAUCUAGAACUUAACUGACAAAGAAUGCAGAAGACCUUCAUAAGAAAAAUGAAAACUCUAUUGUGGACUGUGGAGGAGGUUUUAAUUAAUGGAAAAAUGUACCAGGUUCAUGGAUAGGAGAAUCUAACAUUGUGAAGAAGUUAAUUUGCCCAAAUUAAUGGGUAAGUUCGACAUAAUUCUAAAAAUAAUUUAAAAUAAUUCAAUAUAAUUCUAAAAAUUCCAUCAAGACUCUUUUUCAGGAACACAAGAAUCUCAGGAACACCAGUGUUCACCACCAUCAUAACCAUCACCACCACCUUCACAUCACCACUGCCAACAUCACCCUACCACUGCAACCAAAUCCAGCCAUGAAAGAGGUCCAACAGGCAGCGUAAGCAAGGAGUCAGUGGGGCAUGCUCAUGGCUGGUGACGGUAACCCUGGUGUGAGUGGUGAGACCCCAGGGGAACUGUACCAUCUGUUCACAGAGGUGGAGGAAGGAAGGAGCGGAGUUGGCUGGGCCACAAAAGUGUGCUGUGCUGGAGAAACCACCAGGAAGUGUGCUGACUGGUGCCACCCACCGAGGCCACUGUUUUCGAGGCCCACGGAGAGGUAGAGGCGAAGGAGGAACAGAAGUCUCUACAACCUUCAUCCUCCUAAGGGAAAGUGUGUGCCCCAGGCCACCAAGGUUGUGUCUGCCUGGAGUGUGCUACCCAACCUUGUUUGGUGAGAGGCUCAGGAUGUGGGGGAGCAGGAACUGGAGUGACAGCUUUGUCUGCGCCCCAGAGACGCCAGGGAUCCCGGCACCACCCAGAGGAAGGUCCAGGCACGGAAUGGAUUCCGCCCCAGGACUUCUGGCAGAAACACCCCCGAGGCCACCUUGAGCUCGGAUUUCUGUCCUACGGAAUUGCAGGGAAUGAAUGCUCAUGUGUCUUAAGCCACCAAGCUGCAGCCAUUGUGGUCACAGCCCUAGGGGCUGAAGGCAGAGUGGCUCUCUGACUGGUCAGGGAGGCCGGAAGCUGGCUUCUUGGUCCUUCCUUGGUGGCCUGACUCACCUGAGUGUGUGGCUCUGUGCUCAGGGUGUUCCGCAGCUCCGGUGUGAGGACAUGGUCUGUGCCUUCAGCCUGGUGCCUGCCUUCUUUGUUUUGGUGGCUGUCAGCGGCCCAAGGGCAGGGCCAACCAGGGAAGUGGUGGGUCUGAGGCUCGUGCUGUGUGGCUGCAGCAGGGCUGUAAGGAUUCAUGGUGCCCACACAGCUUCGCCAUGCACAUGGUUGGUUCCUCAGUGGACAUGAACCCUGGGUGUCUGCCAGGGAUCCCCAAAGUAACUGUUGUACAACUCCACUUAAGACCAAAGAGUCCCUGGUACCUGCUUAGAAGUGGCUUCUGCCUCCACAUCACCCUGGUGUCCGUGUGACCUCUGCAGUGUUCUGCAGCUGUAGUUUAGUCUGAAGAGCUCCAACCACAGCCCCUUCUGCUGCCACUAGGCUGGGGGCCAGCCCUGCUCUCCCCACUACAGCCCUGCUUUUAUUGUGGGUUUUUGUGUGCUUUGGAAUUCGCCCAGCCAUUGCAAUCCACCCGAGUGACACAGCCCUGUCUCUCCAGCAUGCAUGACUUGGGCCGGAGGUGAGUACCCUACGCAGGCGCAAGCUUGUGGGCCCAAAGGGUGCUCAGUGGCAAAUGCACUGCACCAUGAUCCAAAUGCGCUUCAAGAUGAAGAACUGCUCCUUCAUCUCAUGUGUGAGGUUGGAAAACAGACCUGGCCACAUUCUCCUUUCCAGUGCCUGGAAGUCAGGUGGCCUUGAUGCAUCCUUUGUGAAUAAUCCUUUGAGAUAAUUCAUUUCAUUACUUCUUUUUUUUUUUUUUUGGUACUGGGGAUCGAACUCGGGUCCUUGUGCUUGUGAGGCAGGCAGUGGAACCACUGAGCUAAGUCCCCGGCCCUUCAUUACUUCUUUUUUUUUGGUUUUCUUUUGAGUCAGGGUCUCCCUUUGUAGUUCAGGCUGGCCCUGAACUCACUAGGUAGCCCAGGCUGGCCUCGAACUUGCAUUGAUCCUCCUGCCUCAGCCUCCUGAGUGCUGGGAUGACAGGCGUGCACCACCACGCCCGGCCCUUCAUUACUUCUUGAAGGACAGGAUUUAUUUCACCGUGAGAGCCAUGAUCACAUUCCCCUCCUCUCAGGCAAGUUUCUUCUGGCCCCAGACCUCAAGACCUUGGGGUAGGACUGAUUGGGAUGGAGGGUAACUGGGAAGAAAUUCUGGUUGAGUUGGGUGGAGCAGGAAGCAAAACCGGAAGUCAGUGCUCUGGUGGGGAGCAGGCUGUGGAUCCUAGGCCAGGCAGAGCAGGACUGGAAGGCACUGGUACCAGCCCAUGGUG